rnacentral:rRNA from 1 species
UACGUAGGGGGCAAGCGUUGUCCGGAUUUAUUGGGCGUAAAGAGCGUGUAGGCGGCCGUACAGGUCAGCUGUGAAAACUCGAGGCUCAACCUCGAGACGUCGGUUGAAACCGUACGGCUAGAGUCCGGAAGAGGAGAGUGGAAUUCCCGGUGUAGCGGUGAAAUGCGCAGAUAUCGGGAAGAACACCCGUGGCGAAAGCGGCUCACUGGACCAUUACUGACGCUGAUGCACGAAAGCUAGGGGAGCAAACAGG